rnacentral:lncRNA from 1 species
GUAAUAUUGGCAUGUAGGGAAAGGAUGGUGGAAAAGGAUAAUAAUUUGUCUUUUUUUUUUGAGACGAAGUUUCACUGUGUUGCCCAAGGUGGAGUGCAGUGACGCUCUCUUGGCUCACUGCAACCUCUGCCUCCUGGGUUCCAGUGAUUCUCCUGCCUCACUCUCCGAAGUAGCUGGUGCCCACCACCAUGCCCAGCUAAGUUUUGUAUUUUUAGUAGAGACAGGGUUUAACCAUUUUGGCCAGGCAGGUCUCAAACUCCUGACCUCAGGCUAUCCACCCAUGCUGGCCUCUCAAAGUGCUGAGAUUACAGGUGUGAGCCACUGCGCCUGGCCAAUACUUUGUCUUAAAUGAACUUUAGAAAAAAAGACCUAUGCUUUUUUCUCUCCCUGAAGAUACAGAGAUGUUAAAACUGGGGUAGAAAGGUGCAAGAUUUUGAGCCCAGCAUCUGUUAGGAUUGGGUACUGGCUUUUGUCUCCUAUCCCUGACCUAGGAACUUCUCUGCCCAAGGAUAGGAUCCAUUGGCCUGCUGUCACUGGUGUUGGGGCUUAGGACAUAUUAUGCCAAAAUAUGACAUCAUGGAGGUCACUCACUGACGUUUUCUUUUUUUGUUGUUUUCCUUUCUUUUUUUCUUUUUCUUUUUUGAGAUGAAGUUUUGCUCUUGUUGCCCAGGCUGGAGUACAAUGGCACAAUCUUGACUCAGUGUAACCUCCACCACCUGGAUUCAGGUGAUUCUCCUUCCUCAGCCUCCUGAGUACCUGAGAUUAGAGGCAGGCAGGUGCCACCAUGCCCAGCUAAUUUUGUGUUUUUAGUAGAGAUGGCAUUUCACCAUAGUGGUCAGGCUGGUCUUGAACCCCUGACCUCAGGUGACCCACCCGCCUCAGCCUCCAAAAGUGCUGGGAGUACAGGCAUGACGCAUCACUGACUCAUUCUAACCUUUCUGUGUGAAAGCUGUCCAUAAAAUUAUUGUCUGACAUACCUCCCUUGAAAGUAGUUCAUAAGACUCUCGUGUGGCAUAUGUCCUGCACCAUACACAAAGGGAAAGGAUACAAUAGAGAGAGGCUAAAAAGAAUCUGAACUCCCAGGCCUUAAAGUUUACCCAAUUUAUUAUCAUAUCAUAAAUUAUUUUGUCCUAUAAUACUUCUACAUUACCUGUCCAUUCUAUCUUUUUUCUUUCUCUUUCUUUUUUUUUUGAUACAAGGUCUCACUCUGUCAUGCAUGAUGGACUGCAGUGGUGCAAUCAUGGCUCACUGUAGCUUCGACCACCCUGGCUCCGGUCAUCAUCCUACCUCAGCCUCCCAGUGGUGUCAGUCAUCAACCUUGUGAUCACUGAGGAAAAGAUACAAUAAUCCUUGCCUAUCCGAACUGGGAUCCUAAAAAUUAUGGAACGAAUUGUAGAAACUCAAGCAACUUUCUCCAAAGCCUAGGGUUCAGCAAGAGUAAGCAAGAGGCACUGAGCCGCUGGAGUCUGCACAUUGAUAAAUUUACUUACAGUCGUAAAUAAAUUGCAUCAUCUUCAGCUAGUAACACAGAGUCUAAUUUUUAUAGCGGCAUACUUGCCUCCACGACUUUCCUAGACACCAGAAAGAAAGGCGAGAGCCAGCCUUAGCCUAAUCAAGAACCAUGAUCCAAAAAGGAGUGGGAGGAACCUAGCGGCCACGUGGGAAUCCCAGCCCUCCUAUUAAGCCUACCCUCUUUGCAAAUUGUGACUGUGAGCUCCUGGUUUACAGAAAUAUAUCCCAGAACUCAAGCAACAUGAGCCACUAUAAUUGUCUCUGGAAGGUGACCCAUUUGCAGAUAGGGACUUCCCUGAAGGUUGGGGCCCUCAUGAGCUAUGCUUUCCACCAAGUUGUCUCUAUAAGGACCAGUUCCAGGACCUCAGGGAGGAAAUUUCACUUUCUGCCUUGGUGGAAUGUGAAGUGAGUGGCUCCCCGGCCACACCCCACCCUCCAUAAAAUAGAAGGUAAAUCCCAACUGCCAAAAGCUUUUUGUCCUCCUCUCAGGGAUACUAAUUAAAGCAGUUGGGCUACUUUUUCAUGCAUUUCAUCUCAAGUUGUCUUUCUGCCUAUCUCCUGAGCCCAGCGAAAGAGUUCCUUAAAAUAACCCUCAAACCUCUGUAGUAAAGGACCACACAAAUAACGAAUGCCAUGAAAAAACAGGGCUAGAGGUUUCAGAGGAUGAGAAAGGAAGAGCAGCCAGAACACUGGCUGUCUAGGUAUGCUACUGGUGCCUGACUCUGCACCUGUGUGUGUCUGUGUGCUGUGUUCCAAUGGCAGAGCAUCGGGGCCACCAGAACUCUCUCAGCUACCGCACAUGGAGAGGGAGGAGUGAUAAAGAGAAAUCAAGAAACUCAGUUUCUUUGAAAUGGAAAUCAAUAAACUCAGUUUCCUCAAAGUUCAAAAUACAUGAGACUGCCUACCCUCCUUGGAAGGCAAGGUGGGGCUUUCUGAAGCAAAUACCAGCUUUAAAAAAAAAUGUAUAUAUAUAUGAAGAUAUAUACAAAAAAAAAAUUUCCCCACAACCAGACAAUCAGAAUCAUCAAACCCAGAAGGGUUAAAGAAAAAGAAAAGGCCCAGGAAAGUAUGAUUGGUGGGGAUCAAAAGUAUCUCUCCACAGUGGUAAAUGAGAAUUCUCAAAAAGAGUAAAAUUAUAAUUCUCAUGCACAUAUAAAAUAAAUAUGUAUUACAGAUUUUACUUAAACCAUAUAGCUCAAAAUUAGCUAACAAGGAAGACAUUAUAACCUGUUCAAAGAGAAGCCAAAGAAGGGAAAUUUAUAUGCUGUAAAGAAAUAUUUAAAGGAAUAUGGCAAAACUGACUCUUAAUAGGAGAUGCCCUAUGUGGUACAUAAUUUGUUUGUGUAUCUACACACAUGAAUUAUUUUGCACUUGUAUCACUAUCUACAACUUACACUGUUGUAAAGUAACUCCCACACAAUCAGAAUCAUAUAACCCAAAAAGGUAUCUUCCCUAACCAAACAAGGUUUUCCAAUAAAGCACUAUUUUG